ACGGCCAUGGUUAGUUGAUGGUGAAGUUGCAGGGUGAGUUCAUAAACUUUUCAAAUCUCUGUGUCUAUUUUUAAAUAAUGAAUUUAAUUAACAAAAUUAAAAAAAUUCUAAUAAUUAAAAUUACUAUAUUUAUUUUUAUAUAGGUACACAAUGAAGGGCUGGUUUGGCUUAUCCUAUAUAAGUUAAAAAGUCAAAAAGUUACUCCAAAAUCUAAAAAGAUAUCACUAUUCUAAAAAAAAAAAAAAUCAAUUUUGUUUCCAAAAAGUACACACCGAAUUCAAUAAAGUGCGGCUACUGUGUGCGUAAGUGAGAAAAAAGAAAUGAUUGGGUGUGAUUUUUACACACACCGUUGUUUGUCCCAUGGGGGCCACCACGGGUCCCGUUUUGAUAAUCUGAACCGUUCAAUGUGUAGAAAUCGUCGAGUACUAUAUGUCUAAAAAAAAAUCACAUUGAUCGGAUAUCGAUAACUAUAUGAUCAAAUCAGUUAUGUACAACAAAUGGAUAGUGUUAUAAUUAAUGAUUGAAAAAUAAAUAAAUCUGAUCAGAUAGCUAUCGAUAUCCGAUUAACGUGAUUUUUUAUAGGUACAUAGUGUUCGACAAGUUACACACAUUUAACGGUUCAAAUUAUUAAAAUGGGACCCGUGAUGACCCCCACGAGUCAAACAAAACCGUCCAAUGCUUUGUACAAAAAUUAGCCAAUAAUUUCCAACUCAAAUUACACAGCCGGUUGUACGGCUGGGGCCCACUCCUCUCUUAUCAUCUCUUACACACUUUUUUAUACAAUUUUUUAAUACACAUUUUUCCAUAAAAAGUCAAAAAGUUAACCCAAACCUCUAUAUUUUUUUUUGUCUUCUUUAGUCCAAAAAGACAAAAAGUGCACUUUUUUAGGACAUCCCAAACCAGCCCUAAGUAUUCAGAACAUGGACACCGCCUGACGUAUGCUACAGUAUUAGUAAGGGAGCAGGACACCCGCCCCAAGAAUACAAGCGGAGGCAAUGUUAUGAGAUGUUCCAGAGAUGGAUACAUUACUAUCCUCUCUAGUUUGACUAUUUGUUGAUUUGUAUUCAAAUCUUGUACCAUUUCAAUAAUCCAAUGCUA